UACGAAGGGGGCUAGCGUUGCUCGGAAUCACUGGGCGUAAAGGGUGCGUAGGCGGGUCUUUAAGUCAGGUGUGAAAUCCUGGAGCUCAACUCCAGAACUGCCUUUGAUACUGAAGAUCUUGAGUUCGGGAGAGGUGAGUGGAACUGCGAGUGUAGAGGUGAAAUUCGUAGAUAUUCGCAAGAACACCAGUGGCGAAGGCGGCUCACUGGCCCGGUACUGACGCUGAGGUGCGAAAGCGUGGGGAGCAAACAGG
rnacentral:rRNA from 1 species